CUGCGGAGGGAUCAUUACCGAGUUUUCAACUCCCUAACCCUUCUGUGAACCUACCUAUCGUUGCUUCGGCGGACUCGCCCCAGCCCGGACGCGGACUGGACCAGCGGCCCGCCGGGGACCUCAAACUCUUGUAUUCCAGCAUCUUCUGAAUACGCCGCAAGGCAAAACAAAUGAAUCAAAACUUUCAACAACGGAUCUCUUGGCUCUGGCAUCGAUGAAGAACGCAGCGAAACGCGAUAAGUAAUGUGAAUUGCAGAAUCCAGUGAAUCAUCGAAUCUUUGAACGCACAUUGCGCCCGCCAGCAUUCUGGCGGGCAUGCCUGUUCGAGCGUCAUUUCAACCCUCGACCUCCCCUUGGGGGGGUCGGCGUUGGGGACCGGCAGCACACCGCCGGCCCUGAAAUGGAGUGGCGGCCCGUCCGCGGCGACCUCUGCGCAGUAAUACAGCUCGCACCGGAACCCCGACGCGGCCACGCCGUAAAACACCCAACUUCUGAACGUUGACCUCGAAUCAGGUAGGACUACCCGCUGAACUUAAGCAUAU
rnacentral:rRNA from 1 species